rnacentral:rRNA from 1 species
UACGGGAGGCAGCAGUAGGGAAUCUUCGGCAAUGGACGAAAGUCUGACCGAGCAACGCCGCGUGAGUGAAGAAGGUUUUCGGAUCGUAAAACUCUGUUGGUAGAGAAGAACGUUGGUGAGAGUGGAAAGCUCAUCAAGUGACGGUAACUACCCAGUA